rnacentral:rRNA from 1 species
UACGGAAGGGGCAAGCGUUGUUCGGAAUCAUUGGGCGUAAAGGGCGCGUAGGUGGUUCUGUAUGUCUACCGUGAAAGCGUACGGCUCAACCGUAUUUUGUCGGUGGAAACUGCAGGACUUGAGGCUGGGAGGGGCUGGUGGAAUUCCCUGUGUAGCGGUGAAAUGCGUAGAGAUGUGGAGGAACACCGAUGGCGAAGGCAGCCCCCUGGGUCAAAACUGACGCUCAUGCACGAAAGCGUGGGGAGCAAACAGG